AGCCAGAGUCAUCUAAGAGGAGGAAACCUCAAUUGAAAAAAAAAUGCCUCUUUACUUUCAAACUGUUAGGAGUUUUCUUAAUUAAUGAUUGAUGUGGGAGGGCACAGCCCAUGGUUAUUGGUACCAUCUCUAGGCUUGUGGUCCUGGGGUUUAUAAGAAAGCAGGCUGAGCUUACCAUGAUGAACAAGCCAGUAAGUUGCCUCACUCCAUUGGCUCAGUCCAGUAAUAUAAAAAAUUAUGAGACUGAAGCAAACAAAUUGUCGUGAGCUUGAGGGCAGCCUGGGUUACAUAGUAAACAUGCUUGUUGGGAAAUGGCUUUUUUAUAACUAUAUAACCAUGAAAAUACAGAUGUAAUCUGUUUAUGAAUUAAGGCCCAGUAAGAUGAGGCCUGGUAAAACACUAGGAAAGUACUUUUGUGGUUAUCAAGGGAAAAUAAAUAAAAAUAAUAAUCACUAUUUUCAAUAAAUAAAGGCAACCAUUUAAUGUUUAUAUUUACUCUAUUUAUUCUUAAUUAGACCCAUGAACUAUUAUGUUUAAUGAACUUAAUUUUCUUUCAGGCAUAUUAAUCAGAUUUAGAUUGUUCAAAGCAGCGGUAUAGAGUUUUCCUGUGAAAUUGUCAAUAGGCAAUUAUUUAUUUUUUUGCCUAAAAUUUUUCUACAAUGCAAAUAAAACCUCUGACACUUUUAUUUUGCUAUAUUUUUUAUUUAUAAUUUUAUAGAGUUAAUGAAAGUAAUGAUAUAUGUCAUUGAUAUUAACUUUCUCUCUAUAUAUGCAUAUAUAUGUGUAUAUGUGUGUGUGUGUGUGUGAGUUUGUGUGUGCUAUUAAAAUUACAAUGAAUAUUUACCUUUUCCAUACAUAGGAUUUCUGGUCAACUAUAAAUUUUUUCUUUCUCAUUGUAACACAGGUAUUUCAUUAUUGAAAAACUAUCAUCAAUGAAUGUCAAGAUUUAAAAGAAUCUUUCUUUUAAGGAAUGGAUCUGAAAACAGAAGGGAUAAAUCAAUUGGACUGGGUGUGAUUUCUUUCAUUUGUAACCAUGACUUGUCAGGAUAAUCCAGGAAUAUUUUACUCACGGAGUCAAGUAUUUGAAAGGCUCAGUGUUUCUGGUUUUAUGUUGAUGUCUAUGAUCUAUUUGGACUUGAGUUUUCUUCAAAGUAAUAGAUAUGGAUCUAUUUGCAUUCUUCUACAUGCAGAUGUCCAAGAAGGCCAGCACCAUUUGUUGAAGAUACUUUCUGUUUUCCAUUGUAUAAUUUUGGCUUCUUUGUCAAAAGUCAAGUGUCCAUAGCCAUUUCUAGGAUUCACUCAACAGGACAGAAAUCAUGCCUGGUACUGGAAACCCAUCUAACUUCUCCUGGCUAUUGAGGCCAUGGCUCAUAGAAAAAGAAUCUACAGCCUCUGUUUGCUAGACCAGCAUAAUUAAUUACUACAUUCUAAAUCUUAUCCUUAUUACUUACAAAGUCCUUCUCUUUUGCCAAAGGAAGCUGUGAACUGUCCAGAUGCCGCUUCACACCACCUGACCUGGUCUUCACCAUCCAAGUGAGACUGCGACCUUCCUCUCUCUUCUAAUAUGUGGUCACAUCUGCAGACAAAAUGCCAUACCUUAGGGUUUUCCUCAAAGCAUCCUACCAUCUACGACAACAGCUGCACAGUACCCUGCAACUGUAUAAUGUACAAUUUCCAAAUAUUGACCAAGCUACUUAAUAAUCAAUUGCAUGGUCUCAUUCAACCUAUUUAAUUCAUUAACAGUCAUUUUCUCCAUUUCAUCAUAACUUUAAUAAUACUGUUUAUAGAUUAUGAUAAUUAUAAAUGUUAAAGAAUUAAUGUAAAAUGUAUCAUUAUUGACCAGUUAAUGAGUAAAUAAAUAGUUGGGAAUUUGCAAAGUUGCUUUCUUCAUGUGUUGUCAUUAAAAUAUAAUAUUACUAAAGUUUACAAUUCUCAUUAACUUGUGUAAUUCUAUGUGUGAAGAAUAAAAAUAUAAAUCAGGCUUUUGUGAGAAAUCUUUUAAAAAAGUAUGAAAGAUUUUUAUUAAAUGAGAAUAUUUUGUACAAAUUCAGAAAAAUUUUAAGUUUUAUUUUAAAAUAUAAAUUUAAACAUGUUAAAACUAAAUAGUAAAUAGAAAAGAAAGAUAUAAGAAAACUACAGAAAUGGAAUAUGUUUUGGUAAGAUAGGAUAAAGAGGAAAGUGCCAUUUUAUAAAUAAAUAAGAUAGUUCUCCUUAAGGAAAAGGACUAAACUAUGUUAAGUGGGAAAAAGUCAAGAUAGAACCCACAGUAAGAUUACAAAAUUCAAAAUUGAGUGAAUCACAGACUUUUGGAGGAAAAUCCUAAAAAAGUUUAUAUGAAUUAAUUAAUGAUUUAAAGAAUUUUGUCAGGCUGACAUUAAUUGUACUAAUUCAACAAAUGAAAACUCAUACAUUUACAAUAGCAAAGUCUUAAGUUUUUAUCUGAUCCCAGUAAUUAUCAGAAAGUCCAGACUUGUGUUCUUUGUAAAUAAAUGUUUAUACUUGUUUUCUGAAUACC